rnacentral:rRNA from 1 species
AGAGCGAACGCUGGCGGCAGGCCUAACACAUGCAAGUCGAGCGCCCGUAGCAAUACGGGAGCGGCAGACGGGAUAGUAACACGUGGGAACGCGCCCUUCGGUUCGGAAUAACUCAGGGAAACUUGAGCUAAUACCGGAUACGCCCUUACGGGGAAAGAUUUAUUGCCGAAGGAACGGCCCGCGUCCGAUUAGCUAGUUGGUGAGGUAAUGGCUCACCAAGGCGACGAUCGGUAGCUGGUCUGAGAGGAUGACCAGCAUCACUGGGACUGAGACACGGCCCAGACUCCUACGGGAGGCAGCAGUGGGGAAUAUUGGACAAUGGGCGCAAGCCUGAUCCAGCCAUGCCGCGUGGAUGAUGAAGGCCUUAGGGUUGUAAAGUCCUUUUAACGGGGAAGAUAAUGACGGUACCUGCAGAAGAAGCUCCGGCCAACUACGUGCCAGCAGCCGU